rnacentral:siRNA from 1 species
GUUAGAGGAUACAAACGGGAUGUC